GGAGCGUGGCGGGCCCGCGAGGGGGGAGCUGGGCUGCGUUCCACCUCCUUCCCUGCCCUCCCCGGCAGAGGUAACCACAGAUUUAUGCAGUAGCCAUGUUUGUCAAAGUAUUUGGCACCAAUGACAUCAUCUUUGUUGAAAUGCUGGACAGCGUGAUGAGUCCCAGAUGUUAACGCACACCAAAAGUUGAGAGAGAAUGAAAUAUAAAGAUCAACUGUAACAGCUAUGGAGGGCUGUACUCAGUUUACAUCUGAUGUUCAUACAUGAAGAAUAUGGGAUUUUUUCAAGGGUUCCUAAAGCUGUUGAGUCUUACAAGUGAGUCUUUCAGAUACCCUUACAAAACCCAACACAUCCACAGAGUUUAGCUAGAUUUCAUUUUCAAAAUUGUUUAUGUUCGAGAUCUAAUUCACAGUUCUGAAAGCAGCUUGGAUGCUUAGUACAUUAGAUCUCACUGACCUUCAAAGGGACAUCUAAGCAUUUAUGGUCAGAUACUGAAUGUAAGGGGAGCCUGGUAGGAUUCUUUUUAUAGUGUUUCAUCACCUCAGUCCCUUUGAAAUCACUUUAAACAUUUUCCUUCAAUUUAAAAAAUGGGACAUGGAUCUAAAUCAUAUGUGUACUUAAGAAAAUAUUACCUGUAAUUUAUUUAAACCUUAUGAAUACUCCAGAAAAAAGGUGUGUUGUGGAUGUAGUGUGUUAGUAGGAAAUGUGUGCUAUGAAUUUUGGGACAAAUCUUGGGGUUUUGCCACUGAUGUGUCAUUUUUAGUCAUUACUUGCUGAGCUGUAUCAUUAGAAAUCUGGGUCACAUAGGCCAUGUUUAAAUUACAUAUCAGAUGACCCAAGUGUUUAAGGCAAGCUGGUGUAAUUCAGCAUCACUUUAAGCAAUUUAUGCCACUGAAGAUCAACCCUCUCAAAGUCCUGCAUCUUCCUGAGUGGAAUUAUUUCACCUUCUCAAGUCUUUUCUUGUAUCUCAGUCAGGACACCCUACCUUCCCAUCCCUGGCUUAUCUGAUUGGUUUGUGGAACUGAUGCAAUUACUGUCUCCAAAUACACUCUACUGUCAGUCUUAAAAAAUGUAAAAAUUUCACCUGGAACACAAACAUACCUGUUUUAAAUAGUGUGUGGAAAUGCUGAAGAAGAAAAUCUCAAGGGGAUAAACAGAGACAACUUUGCUGAGGGGGGAGCAAAAUGUUAGUCACAUACAGUUAUGAUAAUACA